rnacentral:lncRNA from 1 species
GUUCAUUAUGGGUGUCCAGUGCCAAGAGCUUUACAUAUAUUAUCUUCCUUAAUUCCCUUAACAACCUGAUGAGAACUAGCCUCUGCCAUGUUAUGAAUCGAAUGCUACUUUUACCUCAAAACCGAAUGGACAAAACUCAACAGGAAGAAAAGGAACAGUCCCUUUAAAAAUGGGCAAAAUACCUGAACAGACACCUCCUCAAAGAAAAUAUGCAGAUGCGGCAUAUGAGAAGGCGUUCAACAGAACUGCAAAUAAAAACGAC